rnacentral:rRNA from 1 species
UAGGGAAUCUUCGGCAAUGGACGGAAGUCUGACCGAGCAACGCCGCGUGAGUGAAGAAGGUUUUCGGAUCGUAAAGCCCUGUUGUUAGAGAAGAACGUUGGUAGGAGUGGAAAAUCUACCAAGUGACGGUAACUAACCAGAAAGGGACGGCUAACUACGUGCCAGCAGCCGCGGUAAUACGUAGGUCCAGAGCGUUGUCCGGAUUUAUUGGGCGUAAAGCGAGCGCAGGCGGUUCUUUAAGUCUGAAGUUAAAGGCAGUGGCUUAACCAUUGUACGGUUUGGAAACUCGAGGACUUUAAUGCAAGAAGGGAGAGUCGAAUUCCAUGUGUAACGGUGAAAUGCGUAGAUAUAUAGAGGAAAUCCAGUGGCGGAAGCGGCUCUCUGGUCUGUAACUGGCGCUGAGGCUCGGAAGCGUGGGGAGCAAACAGG